rnacentral:tRNA from 1 species
GGCCAGUUAGCUCAACUGAUUAGAGCGUGGUGCUGAUAACACCAAGGUCAUGGGUUUGAUUCUCAUUCAGUCCC